UAUUAUAUUUAAUGUUAAUUAUUUACUAGGGUAAUAGUAGUAAGUUCUUGAAACUCAAAGAAUUUGGCGGUGUUUUAGUCUUUUCAGAGGAAUCUGUCCUGUAAUUGAUAAUACACGAUUUGAUUUACUUGAUUUUGUUAUCAGUUUAUAUACCGCCGUCAUAAGAUUAUUUUUGUUUGAGAAUAAAAUUUUCUUGUUUUUAUAAUGGAUAAUAUGUCAGGUCAAGGUGUAGCUUAUAAUUAAGUAGAGAUGGAUUACAAUAAUUAUAAUUAUAUGGAUAAUUAUUUUAGAUUAAUUUGAAGGUGGAUUUGAUUGUAAAUUUAUUAUUGAUUUUUAUAUUGAUUUGAGCUCUAGAAUGUGCACAUAUCGCCCGUCGCUCUCGUUAUUAAGGUGAG
rnacentral:rRNA from 1 species